UAGCAGUCUGAGCAGCGACGCCGCGUGCGGGAUGAAGGCCUUCGGGUUGUAAACCGCUUUCAGCAGGAAAGAAACUGACGUGACCUUCCCUGCAAAAAACGCCCCGGCUAAUGCUGUGCCCCCCGCCGCCGUAAUACCUCCGGUGCAUGCGUUGUCUGGAAUUAUUGGGCGUAAAGAGCUCGUAUGUGGUUCGUCGCGUCUGAUGUGAAAGUCUGGGGCUCAACCCCGCACCUGCAUUCUGUACUGACUAGCUUGAGUGAGGGAAGGGAGAAUGGAAUUCCGGGUGUAUCAGUGGAAUGCACAGAUAUAAGAAGGAACGCGGAUGGCGAACGCCUCUGUCUGGACCAUUACUGACACUAACGAACGAAAGCGUGGGAAACAAAAUUGAAUACCUUGCCUGUCCAUGCCCUACACAGAGGGUGGUAGCUGUGGGUGCCAACCUUCCACAUCCUCGCCGACGCAACUAAAUUAUUUGCCCCCCCGGGGGGGGAGUACCAUCGCACUAUUACAAAUCGAAUUAA
rnacentral:rRNA from 1 species